rnacentral:miRNA from 1 species
UCUAUCAUCUAUCUAUCUAUCUCUAGAUAGAGAUAGAUAGAUAGAUAGAUAGA